UUCAUUCACUACUCAAGUGUUUCCAGUUUCCUUAACCUCGUUAUGAUGAUUUUCACUGCUCAUGUUUUAUAACUUAUAUCAUUUGUACAAUAUAUUAUACUAUUAGUUCACCAAAAGAGUUGGAAUUCAAAUCAGAAUAACGUUCAGAAAAUGUUUUCGUAGCUAGGCAGAUUUAUCGUUCAUUACCUUUGUAAGUAGAACACAACCUUAGCUAGUACCCAAUGAAUUAAAGGCACUAGGAAUAAGACAAUAAAACUCUCUGGGAUGGGCUGGAACCUAAGCACAUCGAAACUUGAGAAUCUAGCGGAUAGAAUUCAAGGAAGUAAAAACAAGAAAAAAAAUAAAAAAUAAAAAAUAAAAACAUAAAAUAGAAGUAAUGGACUACAACCUAAUAACACUCACUCCCCUUCAAGUUGGUGAAUAUAUAUCACAACUUGCUUUUAUUUUUGGUCAAACAAUACACAACUUGCUUAGGAUAUUAUGAAACACAGACCACUCUGUCAGUUGAAGCAUCUGGUAGUCAUUCUUCAAUGUUUACCAAAGGAGUGCAGAAGCCGAAAUCCAGCCUCUCUUCGUUGAAGUGUCUGUGCACAUGAAUGUGCUUGGUCCUGUCAUGCUGCAAGGGUUAUGUCCAAUAUUAAUUGUUGCUUUGCUGUCAAUUUGUCAAACAUAAUCUUGUAGGACAAUCAAAUUUCAUUUUAACUACUUAACAAGGAUUGUAGCGAAAGGAGCUCACGAAUACCAGGUUUCGUAGCUCAAAAUUCUGCUCACACUAGACCUGGCCACAUCCCUGUUUCUUACCCCAAGUCACCAAGUUUCCAACAACCAACAGGUACCUGAAGCUAAUUUUCCUAUUAGGUACUGAUCUUGCUAUUUCUGCAUCGGUACGAGCUCCAUUCUUUUCUGACAGUCACCAAAUAUCAACAUCUUUCUAGGAUUUUGCAUCUCUGUUUCUUGCUUCUUUAUCAAGUUUUAUACUUGACCAGGCGGAGAAUCUAGUCUUACACACUAGUUCAGUUUCUUUACGGCCUCUACUGUCAGUCUACUUAUAAUGCCUGAAGUAUUAUUUAUGAACUUAUCCAGAAAUUUCAUAGAAUUACCUUGUAGCCUUGGGACAAUGAUAAACCUAGACACCUUUUUGUGGUUAUAAUAUAUACAUACACACGUGCGAGCAAAGUGCUUCUUAAAUGGGAUUCUGCACUGCAGGAUCCCAUGAUAUUCAAACUGCAGGUUUGUUUUUCUUGUCGCCACAUUCAACAAUGAACCUUAAGCCCUUUUAUUUCAUGAGAAACAAGUUUCAUAAAUAAUAAUCAUCAUGAAACAUGAUACAAAUAUUCGGUCAACAAGAGGUCCAACAACAUUUUGAUACAAAUCUUUAAACCUUGAGCCGUAAACCCUUCUCUACACCUAAAAGUAGUAAAACCAUGCCCUAGUUGAAAAUAACACUUAAAAGAAAUAACAGGACAUUCAAAUGGCAUGGGAACUUCCAAGCCGGCAUCUCGCACCUGAAGCUUUCUGAUAGGAUUUUUAGUACCUGCGCAAAGAGGGUUAAAAUCACUGAAAAUACUUGCAAGAAUACAAGGUAAUUGUAGUAUAAAUGCUCAUGCAAGGUCGUCGUUUGACUAAUUUGUAAUUAAACUAACUCUUAAUUAAUAAUUAAAAUAGAUUUGAUCAAAGAUCUAAAAUUUAUGAAUUUGAAAAGAUUAAAUUAACAAUAAAAGAAAUUUGAAAGUCGGGAAAUAAUAACAGCAAAGAGAAAAAACGUUUUUCUUUUAAAAAAAUAACAAUUUAGAGAAAACUAGGGUUCAGCCAUCAUCGUCACAAUCCUAUGCAAUUCUAUCAAUUACUUAUGAAUUUCCACAUAUAUGCUUUGAAGGUUAGGUUUUCCUAAUGCAUAUUUUCCUUGUGAUGUUCAAGCAAAAACAUAUAUCUAAUGCGCAAUCCGUCUGUGAUGUUCAGAUAAAAUAUAAAUGUGCAAGACUCAUUAAGCUUUGUGAAAACCCUUUGAAAAACCAUGCAACCCUUAAGAACGUGAUGUUCGCCUUAAGUGAACUUACAACUACUAACCACAAGAAGUCAUCCUCAAUUUCACGGUGAUGUUCCAACAGAAAUUGCAUCAAAUUACUUGUCUAAAUAUCCUAAUGGUGAUCAGUCAUUAAAAUAGAUAGAUAGUUUUAAUCGCAAUGAUUAAUAAUUCAAAGCAAACAUGCAUCCAUUAAUAAGCAAAUUAAUAAAAUUACAUAUUCAUGCUAAGGUUCAAGGCUUAACCCUAGCAAAAGAGAAUUAGUUACGCAUAUCCAUAACUGAAAUCAUGGAAAAUAUUAUUAAGAAGAAAAAGAAUGAAAAUACCUUAAAAGUCGCAAAAACUCCAAAACCCUAGCAAUUGCUCUCCACAAUGUCAAGUUCAAAAGCCAAAAAGAAGUCCCCAAAAAUUGCUGUGAAAAAGAACUUAAAUACCUCAUAAAACCCAGCUGCCCAAUCCCCACAAGGAAACUAGGUUAGAAUAAAAUACUACUAGGAUAUAAAGUCCAAAUUGAAUUAGGAGAAUCUGCCAACAAUCUGCCCAGCCACGUUUUGGCCUAAAAUCUCCUCCAAAUCCGGCCCAAGAUAGCUUGUUUUAAAGAUAAAAACGUUCUGAACACUUCUCCAGAAGGCCACAAACCCAUAUGAGGUCAUCUUGGGCUCCAAAAACGCAAUAAAAGCCCAAAACGUCACUAUUUUAGCACCGCGCACUGCUCCUUUAUUUUACUGCCAGAGAAUAACCGCUUGGUAGAAAAAUCUGAAAUUUUAAUACGAUCAAGCUAAGUGACUCACGAACGUCCUCCAACUGGAAU